GUUUGAUCCUGGCUCAGGAUGAACGCUGGCGGCGUGCCUAAUACAUGCAAGUCGAGCGAAUGGAUUGAGAGCUUGCUCUCAAGAAGUUAGCGGCGGACGGGUGAGUAACACGUGGGUAACCUGCCCAUAAGACUGGGAUAACUCCGGGAAACCGGGGCUAAUACCGGAUAACAUUUUGAACYGCAUGGUUCGAAAUUGAAAGGCGGCUUCGGCUGUCACUUAUGGAUGGACCCGCGUCGCAUUAGCUAGUUGGUGAGGUAACGGCUCACCAAGGCAACGAUGCGUAGCCGACCUGAGAGGGUGAUCGGCCACACUGGGACUGAGACACGGCCCAGACUCCUACGGGAGGCAGCAGUAGGGAAUCUUCCGCAAUGGACGAAAGUCUGACGGAGCAACGCCGCGUGAGUGAUGAAGGCU
rnacentral:rRNA from 1 species